rnacentral:rRNA from 1 species
UACAGAGGUCUCAAGCGUUGUUCGGAUUCAUUGGGCGUAAAGGGUGCGUAGGCGGCGCGGUAAGUCGGAUGUGAAAUCUCGGAGCUUAACUCCGAAACUGCAUUCGAUACUGCCGUGCUUGAGGACUGGAGAGGAGACUGGAAUUUACGGUGUAGCGGUGAAAUGCGUAGAUAUCAGGAGGAACACCGGUGGCGAAGGCGGGUCUCUGGGCAACAACUGACGCUGAGGAGCGAAAGCGUGGGGAGCGAACAGG